rnacentral:rRNA from 1 species
GACGAACGCUGGCGGCGUGCCUAAUACAUGCAAGUAGAACGCUGAAGGAGGAGCUUGCUCUUCUGGAUGAGUUGCGAACGGGUGAGUAACGCGUAGGUAACCUGCCUGGUAGCGGGGGAUAACUAUUGGAAACGAUAGCUAAUACCGCAUAAGAGUAGAUGUUGCAUGACAUUUGCUUAAAAGGUGCAAUUGGAUCACUACCAGAUGGACCUGCGUUGUAUUAGCUAGUUGGUGGGGUAACGGCUCACCAAGGCGACGAUACAUAGCCGACCUGAGAGGGUGAUCGGCCACACUGGGACUGAGACCAGGCCCAGAGUCCUACGGGAGGCAGCAGUAGGGAAUCUUCGGCAAUGGACGGAAGUCUGACCGAGCAACGCCGCGUGAGUGAAGAAGGUUUUCGGAUCGUAAAGCUCUGUUGUAAGAGAAGAACGAGUGUGAGAGUGGAAAGUUCACACUGUGACGGUAUCUUACCAGAAAGGGACGGCUAACUACGUG